GGACAUAAUGAAAAUUUCCACGUAAAGGCAGAAAUAAAAAAUUUCAGAUGAACUGCAGAAGUUUUGUGUGCUCGACUGUUCAGGAUGUAAGCAGAAAAAGCACACAAAAGAAAAGAAAGUGUUCGAAUGCACAACGUGUCAUCGACAGACAACAUUAGUGCCUCGUUGUACCUUUCAAAUUGACCUGAUUGAUGGUAGUGGAUCGACAUCAACCUUAAUUUCCGAAGACUUGGCUGAAAAAUUGCUUUCCAUGACAGCUGCACACAUAUUUGAGACAACUUGCAUCAAGGUUACCCUUUAUUUAAAUGCAUUUGUAUAGUUGUUUUUACUUUAUUACUGAAUUUAUAAUACAGAGUCUCUGCAUUUUUUUGAGAAUUAAAAGUUAUCUGGUAGCAUUUUCGUUGUUGGAAAAAGAUAGAAUGACAUGUGCCAUCUGAUACUCUUGAUUCAUCAGUUGACUAAACUCUUUAAGCAAUUUGAAGUUAUCUGUUGAGGUUAGAAGCCAAAUGUUCAACUUGCUAAGUUGAGGAAAUUCUUUUAGUUGUUUGAAGUUAUAUGUUGAGGUUACAAUCCAAAUGUUCAAUUUCGACUCCUAUUGGGGCUUUUGCUUUGUCUUUACAAGUUUUGUUUUUUACAACAGAACAACUCCAGUGGCAUCAUAACUUUUACGCAAAUUUAAGAAUUGACUUUCCCAUUUUCAGAAGCAACUCCUCCCCAUUAACCAUGUCCAAGACAUGCUGUCAGAACUCUUUCGAGUUAAACUACGAAAGUCAUCUUGGAGAAGCUCUAAUGUCAUGCCCACAACUCUAUCUGUACUGUCUUGCACAUAAAAGAAAAUCAUCUUUCCACCAAUAGGUAAUGAGAGAAGCAUAAAAAAGGUCAAGCUCUAAGCACAUGUGAGCUAGCAUUGGAACCAUCUAAUGUUCUACCAGAAUCUUCAACCUCGGGGUUGAAAAUUGAACCAUCCACGCCAGCAAAUGCACUAUAAAAGGAAGUAUCUUCCUUACUUUUGUACUUUUUGGUGACUGCAAAGGAAUUUUUUUGAAAUUAUCAUCCGCUACAACUACGCUCAAUAAGGAAGACCCAUCAUAGGGAACUAACAAAGAUGUUUUCCAGUUUUUAUGUCGCUUGCUUUAACCCAGGUUGGUAGUUCAAACUCUUUGAUAAUUCUGAAGACCUAACCAAGAGAUAUUAUUGUAUUACUUUUCUCUCUGCUUUCUCUGAUUGUUCCAUUUCUUCUCAAAUUUAUAAUAUUUUUAGUGUUGAAGCGGUUUCUAUUCUUUUGUAAAGGCAGUAAGUCCAUUGUCUGAUGUUCUCUUAGAUCCUGAUGUGUGAUUCUGUAAUAAUUCACUUUGCCUGUGUGUUGCUUCGUAUUAAGUCCUUUUCGACCAAUUUUUUUUUUUGAUAUGCAAUUAUUGCUUUUGUUGAAAGAAUAUUUGUCUACCAAGUAUUCGAGAGUUUCACUAUUUGCUUAAGAUUACUGGUUUUUCGUCAAUUUAUAGUUGGUGGAUUUAUGAUGAGCAUCUCCUUCGAUCAAUUAUCUGGCAUGGUCCAUUUCUCUUUUUAAAAUUGAUUUAUUAACAACCUACAAAGCAAGAGCAUGUUGUGUGGUUGCUAUAUUUUCUCUGUGACCUUCUCCAAUCUUUAGCUAGAUUAGAUUCUAUAUG